rnacentral:rRNA from 1 species
UACGUAGGUGGCGAGCGUUGUCCGGAUUUACUGGGCGUAAAGGGAGCGUAGGCGGACUUUUAAGUGAGAUGUGAAAUACCCGGGCUCAACUUGGGUGCUGCAUUUCAAACUGGUCGACUUGAGUGCAGAAGAGGGAAGUGGAAUUCCAUGUGUAGCGGUGAAAUGCGUAGAGAUUAGGAAGAACACCAGUGGCGAAGGCGAUUCUCUGGACUGUAACUGACGCUGAGGCUCGAAAGCGUGGGGAGCAAACAGGAUUAGAUACCCU